rnacentral:rRNA from 1 species
UACGGAAGGGGCAAGCGUUGUUCGGAAUCAUUGGGCGUAAAGGGCGCGUAGGUGGUUCUGUAUGUCUACCGUGAAAGCAUACAGCUCAACUGUAUUUUGUCGGUAGAAACUGCAGGACUUGAGGCUGGGAGGGGCUGGUGGAAUUCCCUGUGUAGCGGUGAAAUGCGUAGAGAGUGGGGGAGAACACUCGUGGCGAAGGCGGCCAGCUAGACCAGUUCUGACACUGAGGCGCGACAGCGUGGGGAGCAAACAGGG